AGUGAACGCUGGCGGUAGGCCUAACACAUGCAAGUCGAACGGCAGCACAGAGGAGCUUGCUCCUUGGGUGGCGAGUGGCGGACGGGUGAGGAAUACAUCGGAAUCUACUCUGUCGUGGGGGAUAACGUAGGGAAACUUACGCUAAUACCGCAUACGACCUACGGGUGAAAGCAGGGGAUCUUCGGACCUUGCGCGAUUGAAUGAGCCGAUGUCGGAUUAGCUAGUUGGCGGGGUAAAGGCCCACCAAGGCGACGAUCCGUAGCUGGUCUGAGAGGAUGAGCAGCCACACUGGAACUGAGACACGGUCCAGACUCCUACGGGAGGCAGCAGUGGGGAAUAUUGGACAAUGGGCGCAAGCCUGAUCCAGCCAUACCGCGUGGGUGAAGAAGGCCUUCGGGUUGUAAAGCCCUUUUGUUGGGAAAGAAAUCCAUCUGGUUAAUACCCGGGUGGGAUGACGGUACCCAAAGAAUAAGCACCGGCUAACUUCGUGCCAGCCGCAGUAAAAC
rnacentral:rRNA from 1 species